rnacentral:lncRNA from 1 species
CAAAAAAAAAAAAAAAAAAAAACCUACAGGAAGCUGCUCUGAAGAGGAGAGCCAUGGGCCACAUGUCUUCAUUCCUUCAGUCUGCAUGGUUGAUUCUGGUCUUGUCGGGUUUAGAAAACAGCUUCAUUUAUUAACAGAAGGGCAUAGGGCUGAGAAUGGGCCCUCUGGAAGAAGGCAAUUUGAAAGAGAUAGGUCCUCAAGACCCCAGCCAAGAAACCUAAGGUGUCAGACCAGGCACUUGUCAAAGCAGGAAAUGAGACUUGUGUCAGGAGUGAGGGGGAGGCUGGGGUAUCAAUGAGUACAUCUUGUCCUAGAUGGAGGUGUUCUGUAGCAGCCCAGGGGCAGAGAGCUGACUCACCAGACAACAGACACAGUAGCAGUGACCAGCACAUGACUGCUCUCAGAGAGGAGACGGUAUUGGACUAUGCUUCUAAAUUAUGUACCACACUGCUGCAUUGAUUCAGGCCUUUGUUUGAAGAAUGUAUUGAGAUAUUGAGGGAAGCUGGCAUAUGAAGUGGAGAAGGAGGCAGAACUGGCCCUACAUGUGCACACACGAACACUGCCUUCUACUGAGAUUGCAAGGUGCCAUGGAAGUAUCCUGGGUCUUUGUAUGCAGCCUAGAAAGGAGGUCUUCGGGAUAUAAUUCAAUUUCAUGAUGCAAUUAAGAAAGAAGUCUAAACCAAAGGACACUUACCGCACUGCAGCAACAUGUGGCUAUUUAUCUAGCGUGAUUUCACAGAGAAUUUUUAGGUCAUCCAGGGUUUCUGUGCCUGUAGUUUUUCAUCUCUCAAAAUGGGAUUCCUGACUCAUAGUGUGGGGCGAGGCUGAAAAUGCAUGGUAUAUAUGGAAAUGCUUUCUAACUGGAAGGUGACUAAGGACACAGGUACUGUGGUGUGGUCCUCAGAGCAAAUCCUUUGUGCUUCUUUCUUUUUUAUUAUACUUUAAGUUCUGGGGUACAUGUGCAGAACGUCCAGUUUUUGUUACAUAGGUAUGCAUGUAUAGGUAUGCGUGUGUCAUGGUGGUUUGCUGUAACCAUCAACCUGUCAUCUACAUUAGGUAUUUCUCUUAAUGCUAUCCCUCCCCUAGCCCCCCACCCCCUGACAGGCCCCAGUGUGUGAUGUUCCACUCCCUGUGUCCAUGUGUUCUCAUUGUUCAACUCCCACUUAUGAGUGAGAAUAUGCAGUGUUUGUUUGGUUUUCUGUCCUUGUGUUAGUUUAGUGAGAAUGAUGGUUUCCAGCUUCAUCCAUGUCCCUGCAAAGGACAUGAACUCAUUAUUUUUUAUGGCUGCAUAGUAUUCCAUGGUGUAUAUGUGCCACACUUUCUUUAUCCAGUCUAUCAUUGAUGGGCAUUUGGGUUGGUUCCAAGUCUUUGCUAUUGUGAAUAGUGCUGCAAUAAACAUACGUGUG